UAGACCCAGAGAAGUUCAGAGCUAGGAUGCGCAAUCAACAGCAAGAAAAGUUGAUUAAUGCCGACUUGAUGAAGAGUCAGCGAAUCUGCCAUCAAAUGGACUCAAAAGCUGAAUUAAAUGAACCUGUGGAACCAUGGUUUUUGGCCAAGUAUG